rnacentral:rRNA from 1 species
GUGGGGAAUAUUGGACAAUGGGCGAAAGCCUGAUCCAGCCAUGCCGCGUGUGUGAAGAAGGCCUUCGGAUUGUAAAGCACUUUAAGUUGGGAGGAAGGGCAGUAAGUUAAUACCUUGCUGUUUUGACGUUACCGACAGAAUAAGCACCGGCUAACUUCGUGCCAGCAGCCGCGGUAAUACGAAGGGUGCAAGCGUUAAUCGGAAUUACUGCGCGUAAAUCGCGCGUAGGUGGUUUUGUAAGUUGGAGGUGAAAUCCCCGGGCUCAACCUGGGAACUGCCUACAAAAAUGCAUGACUAGAGUACGGUAGAGGGUAGUGGAAUUUCCUGUGUAGCGGUGAAAUGCGUAGAUAUAGGAAGGAACACCAGUGGCGAAGGCGACUACCUGGACUGAUACUGACACUGAGGUGCGAAAGCGUGGGGAGCAAACAGGAUUAGAAACCCUUGUAGUCC